GACGGAGGAGGCUAGCGUUGUUCGGAAUUACUGGGCGUAAAGCGUACGCAGGCGGUUGAUCAAGUCAGGUGUGAAAGCCCGGGGCUCAACCUCGGAAUUGCGCCUGAGACUGGUCGGCUAGAGUUCGGAAGAGGAGAGUGGAAUUCCCAGUGUAGAGGUGAAAUUCGUAGAUAUUGGGAAGAACACCAGUGGCGAAGGCGACUCUCUGGUCCGAUACUGACGCUCAAGUACGAAAGCGUGGGGAGCAAAC
rnacentral:rRNA from 1 species